rnacentral:rRNA from 1 species
ACCGGGAGAACUGAAACAUCUAAGUACCCCGAGGAAAAGAAAUCAACCGAGAUUUCGUCAGUAGCGGCGAGCGAAAGCGAAAGAGCCAGUAAGUGAUAACAGUAUGGUUAGGAGAAUGUGUUGGGAAGCACAAUCAAAGAGGGUGAUAAUCCCGUAUCUAAAAACCAUAUUGUGGUACUAAGCUAACGAGAAGUAGGGCGGGACACGUGAUAUCCUGUUUGAAGAAGGGGGGCCCA